rnacentral:rRNA from 1 species
ACUACCGAUUGAAUGGUUUAGUGAGGCCUCCUGACUGGCGCCGACACUCUGUCUCGUGCAGAGAGUGGGAGGCCGGGAAGUUGUUCAAACUUGAUCAUUUAGAGGAAGUAAAAGUCGUAACAAGGUUUCCGUAGGUGAACCUGCGGAAGGAUCAUUACCGAAAGAGAGAUACGUAGUUUUAGUGCUACGAGUUCUUCUACCCUGGGAACCAGUGGAAAAAAUUAUCAUUAGGGGUCGGCUGGUUCCGUUAAAAGGAGAGGGCCGCGAGGCGUCGCUCGGACUGCCGUGCUAGGUGACUUUGGUGGAGAUGGAUGGAGACUGCUCAGUGGGAUCGUAGCGUGACCGUGCGGUGUGGCGUAGGACGCUUCGUGCGCCGCGUCGGUGCCUGCCUACGUUUCUCGUUGUGUGUGUCUCUUUCUCUCUCUCUCUCCGUGUCUAUCUAGUGCGUGCACUCGAUGUGCCGCGGCGCGGUCGGCUCCUGCCCCGCAGACGUUUGACAGACGAUUUGUUUCAAAGAACUGAGCACAGAGAUACCUGUAGAGUGGAUCUAUAGAGAAAAAAAAAGUUUGACAACUUUUGACGGUGGAUCUCUAGGCUCACCCAUCGAUGAAGAACGCAGCCAGCUGCGAUAAGUAGUGUGAAUUGCAGAAUUCAGUGAAUCAUCGAAUCUUUGAACGCAAAUGGCGCUCUUGGGUUCUCCCAGGAGCAUGUCUGUCUGAGUGUCUAUUCAAACACCCAUCGUGCGAAUCCGCGUGCGCGCGUCCGCCUGGUCCCCGUCUGUAGCGGAUGGGGCCGGGACGCGCCCGCCGUGAACGGGUUCGUGCGGCGUUGAGGGUCGCGGUCGAGAUGACCGGUCGUGCGCUAGCCAGCCCUGGUGCUGCUCGGCCCGACCGGUCGGUUUACCGCGUCCCUUGAAAUUCAGGGAGAAAGAUCCGCCAAGCGACAUCCGGUGUCGCGCGGGGAUCAUAGAACAAGAUACCCUAAACGGCCACGGCUCUACCGCUUUGACGGAACAAAUCUUUCUCCAUUCGAUUCUUUUUUCUGCUGCCGCCGGGUAGCGGUGGCGGCAUCUCAAAGGAAAAAAGGAAUCGCCUUCCAGACCUCAGAUCAGGCAAGGCUACCCGCUGAAUUUAAGCAUAUUAAUAAGCGGAGGAAAAGAAACUAACAAGGAUUCCCCCAGUAACGGCGAGUGAAGCGGGAAGAGCUCAAAUUUGAAAUCUCCGAUGCCUGCAUCGGCGAGUUGUAGUUGCGAGAAGCACUUUCUAGGCGGAGGGGCCCUGCCUAAGUUGCUUGGAACGGCACGUCGCAGAGGGUGACAACCCCGUCUGUGGCAGGGCCGGCCGCCCACGAUGUGCUUUCGAAGAGUCGGGUUGCUUGGACUAAUCACUAGUGAAUUC